UGGGGAAUUUUGCGCAAUGGGGGAAACCCUGACGCAGCAACGCCGCGUGGAGGAUGAAGUCUCUUGGGACGUAAACUCCUUUCGACAGGGACGAUAAUGACGGUACCUGUAGAAGAAGCCCCGGCUAACUUCGUGCCAGCAGCCGCGGUAAUACGAGGGGGGCAAGCGUUGUUCGGAAUUAUUGGGCGUAAAGGGCGCGUAGGCGGUUUGGCAAGUUUGGUGUGAAAUCUUCGGGCUCAACUCGAAGUCUGCAUCGAAAACUGCCGGGCUUGAGUAUGGGAGAGGUGAGUGGAAUUUCCGGUGUAGCGGUGAAAUGCGUAGAUAUCGGAAGGAACACCUGUGGCGAAAGCGGCUCACUGGACCAUAACUGACGCUGAGGCGCGAAAGCUAGGGGAGCAAACAG
rnacentral:rRNA from 1 species